rnacentral:rRNA from 1 species
AGAGCGAACGCUGGCGGCAGGCCUAACACAUGCAAGUCGAACGGACCCUUCGGGGUUAGUGGCGGACGGGUGAGUAACACGUGGGAACGUGCCUUUAGGUUCGGAAUAGCUCCUGGAAACGGGUGGUAAUGCCGAAUGUGCCCUUCGGGGGAAAGAUUUAUCGCCUUUAGAGCGGCCCGCGUCUGAUUAGCUUGUUGGUGGGUAAUGGCCCACCAAGGCUACGAUCAGUAGCUGGUCUGAGAGGAUGACCAGCCACAUUGGGACUGGACGACGACCGACCC